CAACACCCCACCAUAGCUUACGAGUGGGACGUUGUCAAACUCUACACGGGCCUAAACAAAACUUCGUAUAAGACCUACACCAACGAGUUGGACGCUUUGACGCAUACGCAGGUAAACUGGUGGCCGUAUCAUGACCGAGAGUGGGACUUCGAUCUGAACGUGAUGUGCGAUGCGGAUAGUGGUCUUUGGCGGUGCAUCGUGCGCAUGAUUUGUGUGUACGCCGUUGAGUGGCACUUGCCACAACGAGUGGCCAUGCAGUUUGGGAUGUAUCAGCAUACCCCACCGGGCCCCUGACUGACACCGACGGCCAAGCGCUCCACAUGAUGAGCCGGUAGAAGAAUCAGUUGAUCACAGAAUAGGGAGAGGAGCAUAAAAUCUGAGAACAAAGUGAGGGGGACGAUGAAGAAGUUCGUGAAGCGUUGUCGCAAGCUGGUAGGCCUGCUUGGGUGUGCUGGAGCUGGGUCGGUUGAAGCUUAUCAUCCUGCAACCACACAGGGUCACAUCGGC